AGACCCGAAACCCGGUGAUCUAGCCAUGGGCAGGUUGAAGGUUGGGUAACACUAACUGGAGGACCGAACCGACUAAUGUUGAAAAAUUAGCGGAUGACCUGUGGCUGGGGGUGAAAGGCCAAUCAAACCGGGAGAUAGCUGGUUCUCCCCGAAAGCUAUUUAGGUAGCGCCUCGUGAAUUCAUCUCCGGGGGUAGAGCACUGUUUCGGCUAGGGGGCCAUCCCGGCUUACCAACCCGAUGCAAACUGCGAAUACCGGAGAAUGUUAUCACGGGAGACACACGGCGGGUGCUAACGUCCGUCGUGAAGAGGGAAACAACCCAGACCGCCAGCUAAGGUCCCAAAGUCAUGGUUAAGUGGGAAACGAUGUGGGAAGGCCCAGACAGCCAGGAUGUUGGCUUAGAAGCAGCCAUCAUUUAAAGAAAGCGUAAUAGCUCACUGGUCGAGUCGGCCUGCGCGGAAGAUGUAACGGGGCUAAACCAUGCACCGAAGCUGCGGCAGCGACACUCAGGUGUUGUUGGGUAGGGGAGCGUUCUGUAAGCCUGUGAAGGUGU
rnacentral:rRNA from 2 species